CUACUGGUCUAGAGUUCGAGAGAGGUGAGUGGAAUUCCGAGUGUAGAGGUGAAAUUACGUAGAUAUUCGGAGGAACACCAGUGGCGAAGGCGGCUCACUGGCUCGAUACUGACGCUGAGGUGCGAAAGUGUGGGGAGCGAACAGGAUUAGAUACCCUGGUAGUCCACACCGUAAACGAUGAAUGCCAGUCGUCGGGUAGCAUGCUAUUCGGUGACACACCUAACGGAUUAAGCAUUCCGCCUGGGGAGGUACGGUCGCAAGAUUAAAACUCAAAGGAAUUGACGGGGGCCCGCACAAGCGGCGGAGCAUGCGGCUUAAUUCGAUGCAACGCGAAGAACCUUACCUAGGCUUGACAGUUGGGGAAAUCUGGCAGAGAUGCCAGGUCCGUAAGGGCCCCAAAACAGGUGGUGCAUGGCU
rnacentral:rRNA from 1 species